rnacentral:rRNA from 1 species
GACGAACGCUGGCGGCGUGCUUAACACAUGCAAGUCGAACGCUGAAGCUCAGCUUGCUGGGUGGAUGAGUGGCGAACGGGUGAGUAACACGUGAGUAACCUGCCCCCUUCUUUGGGAUAACGCCCGGAAACGGGUGCUAAUACUGGAUAAUCACUGAUCUUCGCAUGGGGGUUGGUGGAAAGGUUUUUUCUGGUGGGGGAUGGGCUCGCGGCCUAUCAGCUUGUUGGUGGGGUGAUGGCCUACCAAGGCUUUGACGGGUAGCCGGCCUGAGAGGGUGACCGGUCACAUUGGGACUGAGAUACGGCCCAGACUCCUACGGGAGGCAGCAGUGGGGAAUAUUGCACAAUGGGCGAAAGCCUGAUGCAGCGACGCCGCGUGAGGGAUGGAGGCCUUCGGGUUGUAAACCUCUUUCGCUCAUGGUCAAGCCGCAACAUUGGUUGUGGUGAGGGUAGUGGGUAAAGAAGCGCCGGCUAACUACGUG